GGACUACUCGGGUUUCUAAUCCUGUUUGCUCCCCAAGCUGUCGUGGCUCAGCGUCAGUGAUGCGCCAGGAAACCGGCUUCCCCUCUGGUAUUCUUCCCGAUCUCUACCCAUUUCACUGGUCCACCGGGAGUUCUGUUUCCCUCUCGCACCCUCCAGCUCGCUCGUCUCCCGACCCCCCUCCCAGUUGAGCCGGGAGAUUUCAGUCGGGACUAAACGGGCCGCCUGCCCACGCUUUACGCCCAGUAACUCCGGACAACGCUUGCAUCCUACGUAUUACCGCGGCUGCUGGCAC
rnacentral:rRNA from 1 species